rnacentral:rRNA from 1 species
CACGUAGGGCGCGAGCGUUGUCCGGAAUUAUUGGGCGUAAAGAGCUCGUAGGCGGCCUGUUGCGUCCGCUGUGAAAGCCCGGGGCUUAACCCCGGGUCGGCAGUGGAUACGGGCAGGCUAGAGGUAGGUAGGGGAGAAUGGAAUUUCCGGUGUAGCGGUGAAAUGCGUAGAUAUCGGAAGGAACAUCAGUGGCGAAGGCGACUUUCUGGACCAAUACUGACACUGAGGCACGAAAGCGUGGGGAGCAAACAGG